CCUCAACUGUCCAUCUUUGUGGGGGUCUCUCUUUCCAAUCCCUAUACUACCAACUCUAGAUGAUUCCAGCACCUCCAGGUGUCCAACAUAGCACCUGACUGUCCAAGUGGCUUCAGAGGAGAGUAGAAGAUGACAGAAACUGUAAUGAGUUGUGAGAAUCUUUCAGAAUGAAGAGCAUCAAACAAGCAAAGUAGGUGGAUGAGAACAGAAGAAAUAAGAUGAGGGAGGCAUUCAGGAAAUUUCUUAUCACCAAUGCUCCUCACAACAUCUUCUGCUGAGUGAAACUACCCCUGCUAUUAUCCGUAGGGCUGGACCACAUUUCUAUUUGCCGUUCUUGCUUUUUUGGACUUCAGACUCAGCUGCAAAAAUUGGCUUCAGGUGAAGGAGUAUUGGAGACAGAAGAGAGUAGACUGUGAUCUUGUGAGCUCCAAAAAGGCAAGGAAGCCUCCUCAGGGGUCCAGGAACUGCAAUCUGUCCCAGAGUUGGUGUCCAAGCCCAGAUGAAGUACCAGCAAAGUCCUGAGGAGUGAACAGCUUGACUCAGCCCUGCAGUUGUUUGACAUUGAGCACAGAGGCAACAGCGUCCUACAGUGAUGGGGAAGGGAUUGACGCUGCCCUUCAGUUACAUUUCAUUCAAAAGUAAAUUUGAAAACAAACAAAUAAAAUAACUUUUAUGGGGAAAGGGAAGGAAAUG
rnacentral:lncRNA from 1 species